rnacentral:misc_RNA from 1 species
AAUUCCCCACCUUUUCCACUUUUUUUUGAAAAAGCUUGGAUUUUGGGAGUUGUUGCAGGCUGCUCAGAAGUCUGCUCUCCUUAAAUGUAUUAGCGGGGCCCUUGUUGUCUAGCAUUUGGUGUGAUAAUUAUCUACGCCAUUGUGAACAAUGUAAUAGGUCGGCUUCUAAUCGUCUCGUAAAGAGACAAUCUCUGACAUUU